GGGGAGCGGAGCGGGGCGGGAGGCGCCGUCCCUGCGCUGCGCGGGAUUUGCGCGGGGGGGAAUUGCGCGGGGGGCUGCCGCCGGGGUGGCUCUGAGCAUCCCGCACGGCACCGAGCCGGGGAGGUUUGGGGAUCCCGGGACAAACGGCACCGGGGGGUUGGUAGGAGGUGAGGGAUGAGGCUGGCUGCGGGGCAGGCGGCUGGGCUACCCCCCCAAAAAUAUAUUGAAAAAAAAAAAAAAGAACAACAAAAAGAGAAAAGAAAAAGAAAAAGAAAAAGAGAAAAGAAAGAGAAAAGAAAAAGAGAAAAGAAAACAAAAAAAGAAAAAGAAAAAAAGAAAAAGGAAAGAAAAAAAGAAAAAAUAGAAAAAGGAAAAAGAUGAAAAAGGAAAAAGAAAAAAAGAAAGGAAAAAAAUAAAGAAAAAAAGACACCCCCCCUCGGUUUAAAAUGUUAAUAGGAUGGGGAGAUGGGGAAAGGCUUUUUCUUGACGGUGCCACUGUAAAUAAAUGCGGUCUGACUUGCAUGCUGUCCCCUAAAGCCGAUGGCUGCAUCUAUUCGUGGACAGACGAGCAGAAAUAAUCGGAGUGGAUUGGAUGUGUUUUAGCUACGAUGCUUAACUGUUGUUGGGCUUUAUUUCUGUUAUUUAUAGUGGCGGGGCAUAAAGAUUAGUAAAACGUUAGCUUUUUCUUUUUUUUUUCUUUCUUUUUUUUUUUUUUUUUUUUCGGAAGGCUCAGAAUAAACAUGCGCAGAUGGUGGAAGGGAGCAGGGUGCAGGCUGAUGCUUUUUUGGCUGAGCGGGGAGUUUUAUUUCUGUUGAGAGAAAUUUUCGCUCAUCGGAUGUUGUAGAGGCAGAGAGCCGCGGUUGCUGGGGAAGGGCAGGGUGCGUGCUGCCGUGUGGGUGGGUGAGGACGUGAACGCUGGGUUGUACGGGACGGGUGCUUUAUUGCCAUGUCCCCUCCUGGUGCAAAUUCAACUUUGAGCACAUCUCUAAGCAAAGCAUCGCUGAGCCCAAACAGCACGUUUCGUGCUUUGCGUGCCACUUCCAAAACACGGCUGAACAAGUUUCGGCCGUAAUAUUUCAGUUUCUUUCUGCUUCCAAGGGAGGGCUCUCUACAAACGGAGUAUUUCUGCUUCUGCUCAUUUCCUACAUACCAAGUGCGAGUGAGAAGCGGGCUGAGUGCUUGAUGUGGAGGGGGGUCACGCACCCUUGUGGGGAUGAGCAUGGUGUGGAAACACUGCCCAGAUGGUGACAUUCGUGUCUGCCCAGGGCUCUGAAGAUGCAAGGUGAGGUGUCCCUGAGGGUCGUGUCCCUGCCUGUCACCUUCAGCACCUUCCUGAGCAGAAGUGUGUGGGGAAGGCAAGUCCGAAUGCCAGGAGAUUCAUGGGAGCAGCAGGACGGUUUUCUGUGAUUUCCAUCACACAGUCCCGUGUUAUCUUCCCACCUGUGGUGUAUGAAGCAUCUGCGAGGGUCAACUUGCACCUUUAGAGAGGUCCAGAGAGAAUGAAAGCCGUGGACUUGGUGGGUAUCCCACUGGAGUUGACAGGAGCAGCCGUAGGUCCCAAGGUAGGUAGAAGUAGGUAGCGUUCAUCGUUGUGCACAUUAGGAUGGCUGUUGCAAAUGAAAUCCAUUCACCAUGACCAUUUAGUGCCUCACACUCUUAAACAUCAUCGCAGCAAGGCCUUUGAGAUGAGAGGGCAAGCUGUAAGGCUUUAAAACAUGACCUAACACAGUAUAGAAAUUUCAGAGAAUUAAAUUAACUGCAUCGCAAGCCCGUGCCUGUCUAUAGGAAACAGAGCUGUUCUUUUUUCCCAUACACAGGGACAUUAUUUCUGGGUGUAGGUGCAUUUACCAGCCUGCACCUCAGUUGCCUCCUGGCUGUGUGCUCCCGAGUCACGGAGGGCAGACCAGGCAGAUUAAGGAGAUGUGGAUGUGAGUUUUGGAUCUGCUGUAAAACUUGUCAGAAAUUGAGGCCAUUACUGUGCAAAUCAUUAAAGGAUUUCUUCAGUUCCCACUGAGGCCAGCCAAGGUCUGUUCACUGACCCCAGCAGCAGAUACACGGGAGCACAAACCCUAGGACACAUUCAGAGUUAUUGAUAGGAAAAAAAA